UCCGAGUUGACCCCGGCAGUCUCCCAUGAGUCCCCGCCAUAACGCGCUGGCAACAUGGAACGAGGGUUGCGCUCGUUGCAGGACUUAACCCAACAUCUCACGACACGAGCUGACGACAGCCACGCACCACCUGUGAACCGACCACAAGGGGGCACCUAUCUCUAGAUGUUUCCAGUCCAUGUCAAGCCCAGGUAAGGUUCUUCGCGUUGCAUCGAAUUAAUCCACAUGCUCCGCCGCUUGUGCGGGCCCCCGUCAAUUCCUUUGAGUUUUAGCCUUGCGGCCGUACUCCCCAGGCGGGGUGCUUAAUGCGUUAGCUGCGGCACGGAGGACGUGGAAGUCCCCCACACCUAGCACCCACCGUUUACGGCGUGGACUAC
rnacentral:misc_RNA from 1 species